UUUUCUAAUGGGUGUCGUGGCUAUAGCUUAUUGGUUAACAUAUUUAAACUCUCUCAUUCCGAGAUUUUUAAUGCCACUUCAAGGCAAGAUAUUCUGGCAUCGGCUGGCAUCCAUAUCCCAAUUACAUUCAUUUAAUAUCUCUUUAAUGUUAUUGAUAUAACAAAUAUCGAUUCUAAUCUAUCUUUUCUUAUUUUGUAGAGCUCCUUGUCCUUAUGUCCACUCCCAAGGAUCCCCGGUCCUCAGGUCCUGAAAAAGAUAUCGAUCAGAGACGAAAGCAAUAAGCUCAAUUCUUCCAUAACAUAAGGGCGCGGGCUUUCGCGCGAGCCGAAUGACGUAGGUACACGAGAGUACUUCGCGAUCGAGACCUCUGGUUAAAGGCGGAGCAGCCUCAUCCAUGUCCGUGAGGGGUAAAAUUGUCCUUCAUCGUAAUGUCCAAAAUGCACCGCGGGAAAUCCAAAGAUCUGAACCAUGUGCAGCGGCAAAGCUUACACGUGCUAACGAUGAAAAAGGUUAUGAUUCUACACGGGCAAGUCCAUGGUAUCAGAAUGCAGUUACCACUGAGGCAAAGUCACGUGUCGUCUUGUCACUGUAGACUCUUCUUUUGUUUCCUGUUUGGAUUUUGGUACCUAUCGUGGUUCAGAAUAAUUUAGAUUGCGUCCCGUAAAAUCAAUUAAAGGGCCAAGGCUCCUUAUUAAAAUUUUGUCCAUUUCUAGAAUUUGUACCUAAAAUUUCUUAUUAAAUAUGGAAGAAUCUUAUAUAUCUGCACAAUUCUUGAUGGUGAAAAACAGAUUUGACUAAUAGGUCGCAACUAUUAACGGCUUGUUUGGAAAGUUU
rnacentral:lncRNA from 1 species